GUUUUUUUUAGCUUAAAUAAAAAUUCAGUCUUUUAGAAGCAUUUUCAUAUAUAUUUGACCAUCAUGCGAUGCUUAGAAGUUGCCAAAUUUAACCUCUGAAGUUGGUUAUCGCGUGCGAACUUUUCCGUCGCCAUAUUGAUGCCGUGUGACGUCAUAAGAUGAACGGAAACGAAGAUAUGAAGGUCGUAUUUGUAGUAAAUUAUAUGGCGCGUCAACAUAUUGCAGUGGAAUUUUUGUCUAUUUCACUUGUUUAUGGCGCAGAUAACUGACUUUUAAAAAUCGAAGAACAAGUGCUAUAUCUUAUUGUUUAUUUGACGGCGGAAUGACGAUUAGAGAUGCAGAUAAUAGGGUCAGUACUGCAUCUGGAAGUCAACGAGUAUGGACUCGGCUAAGUCGGCUUUGAAAUACGAUGAUGAACCAGUUGCCUAACAGCUUUUAUACAGCUUCACUAGACGAAGUGAUAGAGAAAUUAUAUAACGCCGCUGCAGAUAGGCAACCACCAUCUGUGACUGUGUUGGAGCAAUCAAGCGAUGGUACAAUACCUGUAAAAUUAGUGGUAAGUAGAUCCUUUUUAUUGCAUGUAUAUAUAUAUAUAUAUAUAUAUAUUGCAUUGUGCUCGCCUCGGUAUUGUGUCUGAACACAUCUGGUGUGUGUAACUUAAUAUUUAUUAUAAACUGGAUUGUGUGUGACAAAAAAUAUAAAAACAUUUAUAAACGCAAGCAUAUUCAUAGCCUAAUAAGUCGCAAUACUCAAAAUGAUUUUGGUUUGGUUUUCAAUAGAUAGCGAUAGGUGUAAUUGGCAAUUACGCCUUUUACGGGCUGUGGUUCUAUUGAUGGCUAUAGCUUUACUUGGAUGGAAAAACAGAAGAAAAUAAUUUCCAACAACAAAGACACAGCUGCCUUACGUUUGAGCAGAAAAGCGGUCGACUUUAGUUGGAUUAGGCAGAUUGAGACUGAGUCAGUUAACCAUUGAGUCAAAAUUGUCCUACUGUGCAAUAUCACAUAUACUGUAAUAUUUUGAAAUUAUAUUAAUCUUCAAAGUCACAAAUAUAUUUCUCACAUAGGCCUAAUAGCGUACCAGUAUAAUAUUAUACUAUUGUAUUAUUAUAUUUAUUGUUACUUUAUACUAUGCAAUAUAUUAUUGAUAUGACUGAAUAUAACUCCAAUGGCAUGGUUUCUCUCAAAAUGUCAUCAGAAGUCUUGACGAAACUAGGUCAAGGCAUGCUGAAUUGUUGUCUUUAUUUCAAUCUCAAGAUGCUCUGGGCAAGAAACUAACUUAACAGGAGAUAGUCUUUUUACAACCACAAAUGCUCUAAAACAUAAGAAAUGUCAAACACUUUAGACUAACUAUAUAGCAUCAUUUGCGCAAAAUAUUCACCAUAUGUGCGAACAUAUUAAUUUGUACUAUAUACCUGAAUUAUUUGCCUUGCGUCUGUUAGUUGUACUUCAGCUAGGGGAACAAUUCUAGCCAUUACAUGGCAUUGUAUAAACAGUUUCUUCCUUCAGUAUUCUUUCCAUUUUACGAGGUUUUGUCAAUGAAAAUAAGAUAUAGCACGAAUCUUCAAAACGGGGUCAAUCAAAACACUAGGCUCGCAGAUGCGUGAAAAUCCGCGGUCAAUGUUUACGGUUAAAAUUCACUGACUUUACUUCACUCUGUGGAUCUGUUUCUUUGUUGGGAAAUGGAUGCAUGGGUAUUCCUUCAGGCUGUUCAGAAUUCGUGCAAUAAUCUCAGUUAGAACUGCCAGAAACACGGCCUUCGUCUCCGCGUUUGUUGGUUUUACUAUAAUUUUAAUACGCCAUGAUGAAAUCGUGUUCAUCUUAUGACGUCACAUGGCAUCAACAUGGCCGAUCAAAAGUUCGCACAGGAAGUGCCAAAAAUGGCCACUUUGGAAGGCUAUAAAAUCGGUUUGAAUUGACCAAUUUCAAUUCUGUUUGUGGUAAACAGGUCAGGAAGGAAAGCACUUUUAAUUAAGCUAAAAAAAUGAGGGUCGAAAAAUUCGCUGCAGUAGCACUUUAAGUGCAUGGCCA